rnacentral:rRNA from 1 species
UACGGGGGGGGUAAGCGUUGUUCGGAAUUACUGGGCGUAAAGGGCUCGUAGGCGGCCAACUAAGUCAAACGUGAAAUCCCUCGGCUUAACCGGGGAACUGCGCUUGAUACUGGAUGGCUUGAGAUUGGGAGAGGGAUGCGGAAUUCCAGGUGUAGCGGUGAAAUUCGUAGAUAUUCGCAAGAACACCAGUGGCGAAGGCGGCUUACUGGUCCGGUUCUGACGCUGAGGCGCGAAAGCGUGGGGAGCAAACAGG